rnacentral:rRNA from 1 species
CAGCAUGGGAAUCUUGCACAAUGGGCGAAAGCCUGAUGCAGCGAUGCCGCGUGCGGGAAGAAGGCCUUAGGGUUGUAAACCGCUUUCAGGAGGGAAGAAAAUGACGGUACCUCCAGAAGAAGGUGCGGCCAACUACGUGCCAGCAGCCGCGGUGACACGUAGGCACCAAGCGUUAUCCGGAUUUAUUGGGCGUAAAGAGCUCGUAGGCGGUUUGGUAAGUCGGGUGUGAAAACUCUGGGCUCAACCCAGAGAGGCCACUCGAUACUGCUAUGACUAGAGUACGGUAGGGGAGCGGGGAAUUCCUGGUGUAGCGGUGAAAUGCGCAGAUAUCAGGAGGAACACCAGCGGCGAAGGCGCCGCUCUGGGCCGUAACUGACGCUGAGGAGCGAAAGCAUGGGUAGCAAACAGGAUUAGAUACCCUGGUAGUCCAUGCCGUAAACGUUGGGCACUAGGUGUGGGUCUCAACCAACGAGAUCCGCGCCGUCGCUAACGCAUUAAGUGCCCCGCCUGGGGAGUACGGUCGCAAGACUAAACUCA